CAGCACUGUGGCAUUGCAGACACAGCACCCUCAUCCCCCUGACCUGAAGAAAGGACUGGAAGUGUUUAAAGGCUUUUAAAUGGGAGCAGCUGAGGAGAAAACUGGAUAAAAUUCAGGGCAUGGUUAGCUGCAGCCAUGUAUCAAAAGCUGAGUGGGAAAAGGGGCAUCAGAAUCUGACCCAACCAACCAUACCCAAAUUAGGGGAAUCGUGUCCAACCCACGAAGGAGGCUGAAACCUUUGAAGCUGCUUUGGGAAAGGGAGCACACAUUCACAUGCAUCUCAUAGACAAGAGGAACAUCCAGCUACCAACACAAAGUUUGGACAACAUCCACCUUUACAACCCUUGAUAAAACUUCCUCAGAUCAGAGACAAACAUGUAUGAAAGAAACUUAACACUGGCAUCACAAAGGAAAAAUGCUGAAAAAGCCUGAACAUCAGUCUGUGACUUUUUGCCUUUUAUAUUAUGUCUAAAUUUUGUUUCUGAGAUGUCAGGAACUGUUGCAGCCUCGGAUGAAAUAGGGAUUGUGUGCUUUCUUGAAUCCCAUCAUAAUGGAUUGAUUGACCUGAGCUGUCCUCCCCAGUUGCAGGGAUGAGCUCUCAACUUCUGCAAGUUUCCAUGUCUGGUAAAAAUAAAGCAGAACUUUUAUUCUUCAAAGAGGAGAUCUUGGGUAUCCAGGCUGGGUAACAUUUUCAAAUAAUGAUACAAACCUUAAGUAGAAAACUCUCCCAUUCUAUUUCUUCCUGUUUAGUCUCAUAAGGUCUUGGGUCUAAGCUCAAGUAAUACUUGUAGUACUUAUGGCUACAAGUAAUACAGAUCUAGACUGGGCUAUUUCUAAAACCUGGUGACCCACAUUCUUUGAGAAACAGGUGCCUUAGGCCUAUUACCUCUGCCAAACAGAGCCUUCUCCAGUUUAACCCAUCAUAUGUCUUCUCAGCAUAAAGAUGUUCCUGAAGCAGCAUGAAAGGGGCUGGACUUUGCUCUCCCUCCCCUGACUAUAUGCACAGGAAAAGGAUUGUGAGCAGGAGCAAGGAACAAGGAACAGGACUUCAGUCUGGAUCCGUGCCACUUCAGUUUUUGCUGCUUGUUUUCACUUUCUUUUUGUCUGGUAAAAUCUGAGCAGCCUCACUUUGGGAUGGACAAUAGAACUCAGAGUACUGCCAAAAUAAGCUUUGUUGCCAAUUCCAACCUGUUAUCUUCAUGCUGGCAGAAAUGAAUAUAUAUUUUUCUUAGCACCAUGGCUGGUGCUCAGCAGGACAGAGAGGGCAGGUAACUCAUUUGGAAAAUUCACCAUGCAAUCAUUCUAUCAUUUUGCAAGAGUAGCAGUGUUUAGUGUCUCCAUUUUUUUUUUUUCUCUCUCCCUCCCUUUUUGUUUAACUAUGUUCUUUAAUUGAAUACAUCUCUGAGUAUUUUUUGGAGACUAUGAAUGGAUGUAAGGAUGGACAUGCCUGAAUCUGUGGAGGCAAAAAAGGGUGUCAGGGAUUCAUUUAUAAGCAGUAUCUCCCACGCACUUAAAUGCCUACAAAUUUCAGGAAGAAAAAGAUCUACUACCUUAGGGGAAAAAAGCACUGCUUUAGCUUUUCAUUAGCAGUAUGUCUCCAGGCAUUCAAUGAGAAAUUCAAACCUAAUCAUAACUAUAAUUAUCAUCUCUCAGCAUUGACUGGCAUCUUCACUCUGAAGGAUGGCAUCACUCCUCCCAGAACUGAGAACACCCAUGGGACAUUACCACAGUGGGCAAAUAAUCAGCCUGGGAGACUCUCAAAGCUCCAAAGAAAGGUAGCAGUGAUAAUCUUCUGCCUCUGUGGACCUGCCUUGAUUCCCUUUUCUGGCUGGCUGCUGGCCAAGCCUAGCUCUGCACCUGGCUUCUCUGGGAUUUCUUUGGUUUUCAGUUGCACUUCUCUGGGAGUAAAGCAGCAAAGUUAAGAAACUUGGAUCCCUGGGAGCAUUCAGACCCAGCUUUGUUCCAUCUCCACUUUCUGACCACCUUUACAAGGACCUGGAAUCCAAUUUCCAACUCCCUAAUCUCUGUAACUGGACCGUAUCAGCAACUGCCUCUCCCCAUCACUUCAUCCUGCUCUCUCGUCUACACAACUGCUCACCAAUUUAGUUUCCCCCCCAAGAGUCUCUUACAGGUGAUGGUCCAGAAAGUAGUUCUGUGUCUAAAAGUUUUCUGGAUCCCCAAAGAAAAUACCUCCAUGACCUCUUUUCUAGGCACUGCUGUACUUCCAAGCUGUCUUCCUUUCAGGUGCUGAACUUCCCUUGUAAAGAAGGGCAGUGCUAGCAGAGCGGAGUAUUUGAUCCCAUCACCCUUGAAGCAGCAGACAACACUUGAAAAAAGGUUUUGUAGCUAAACCAGGUUGGAGUUCAUACAAAAAGUGUCAAGUCUCUUUCUACUGUAAUCACCAAUGCCACCUCUUUUUCUGACCACAUCCUGGGCUUUCUUGAGCAUGAACAGCCACCAGCAGAAAUUUUAUCAGUGUUAUUAGAACCAGCAAAACCAGAAGUGUCUCAGCAUGUUUUGCUGAUCAUGUUUGUAUCACACACAAAGCACACUUUCUGUUGUCAUUUUUCUCCCCUUGCAAUCUCAUGUCUUUAAGGAAGAAAAUCAAACCUGAACAGUGAAAGUUCCAGGACAAACAUUUUGUUGAGCAGUUCUCUUUUGAUGUAAACUGCUGAUACUUACAGAAGCAGUAUUCAUCAGAAUUGUUUAGAGAAAUAAACCCCAAAACCCUCAUUCAAGCCUCAGUUCUGCUUGUUCUUAUUCAUACAGAACUUCACCAUUCUCUAUAACCAGUCCCACAACAAUAUGCUUAGCUCCUCUCUUUCCUGCACUGCUCAGUAACACAGGAGUGUCACAGGACGUGGGCACUUGUGAGCAUUUCAGGGCAGUUUUGGGGGUACAAUUCACCACCAGCCAAACUUGGGAAAGGCCAAGGUAAAGUGAGGUUGGUUUGGGUCAACCUCUCCCUCUGUGUUCUCUGGGGUCAGUUCUCACCAUGGUGCCUGUGCCACCCUCUGAAUGUUGUGUCAUGAUUACCAUCAGAGGGAUCCAGUCUGCACAAACCUUCUACUAACAGCUGCUGGAGGAGUGUGAGCAGCUCUCUGUUCCCAUCUUGCCUGCUUGGCUCUGAAAUGGGGGCAGAGCUUCUCAACUGAUUCUGAAGCAUUUUGAGUCCUUCUCAGGUAACAGCUGAGACUCAGCUCACCCCAGAAACAGCUGAAUACUCAGCAGGUAACCUUUUCUUUUCAUCUCAGUAGUCUCCACAGAAGAACUCGAAGUUUCAGUGCUUUCUUUGGUGCACAGAUUUUGGA